UCAUAAUGUUCUCUUUCCAGUCCUUAAAGUUUGUGCCGUUAAGCACAGGGAUGCUAUUAUGUUUGCAGAUAUCGAAGCAACUGAAGAAUUCACUGAAUAUAGAACAAGGAUAACUUAAUACAUGCUUACAAUUACUUGAACUUUAACCUUAGUUUACAGAUUCAAAAUAGGCAAAUCCCAUUACAAGAUACCUAGCACAACAUUGAUUUUAGUCUUUGGACAGAAAAUCAACUUGUAAGUGGUACN
rnacentral:lncRNA from 1 species